rnacentral:rRNA from 1 species
CAAGUCGAGGGGCAGCAUGGUCUUAGCUUGCUAAGGCUGAUGGCGACCGGCGCACGGGUGAGUAACACGUAUCCAACCUGCCGUCUACUCUUGGCCAGCCUUCUGAAAGGAAGAUUAAUCCAGGAUGGCAUCAUGAGUUCACAUGUCCGCAUGAUUAAAGGUAUUUUCCGGUAGACGAUGGGGAUGCGUUCCAUUAGAUAGUAGGCGGGGUAACGGCCCACCUAGUCAACGAUGGAUAGGGGUUCUGAGAGGAAGGUCCCCCACAUUGGAACUGAGACACGGUCCAAACUCCUACGGGAGGCAGCAGUGAGGAAUAUUGGUCAAUGGGCGAUGGCCUGAACCAGCCAAGUAGCGUGAAGGAUGACUGCCCUAUGGGUUGUAAACUUCUUUUAUAAAGGAAUAAAGUCGGGUAUGCAUACCCGUUUGCAUGUACUUUAUGAAUAAGGAUCGGCUAACUCCGUGCCAGCAGCCGCGGUAAUACGGAGGAUCCGAGCGUUAUCCGGAUUUAUUGGGUUUAAAGGGAGCGUAGAUGGAUGUUUAAGUCAGUUGUGAAAGUUUGCGGCUCAACCGUAAAAUUGCAGUUGAUACUGGAUGUCUUGAGUGCAGUUGAGGCAGGCGGAAUUCGUGGUGUAGCGGUGAAAUGCUUAGAUAUCACGAAGAACUCCGAUUGC